GAUGAAGAACGCAGCGAAAUGCGAUAAGUAGUGUGAAUUGCAGAAUUCAGUGAACCAUCGAAUCUUUGAACGCACAUUGCGCCCCUUGGUAUUCCAUGGGGCAUGCCUGUUCGAGCGUCAUUUGUACCUUCAAGCUUUGCUUGGUGUUGGGUGUUUGUCCCGAGGGACUCGCCUUAAAGUAAUUGGCAGCCAGUGUUUGGUUUUGAAGCGCAGCACAAGUCGCGAUUCAAGGCUACACGCCCGCUUCCACAAGCCUUUUUUCACUUUUGACCUCGGAUCAGGUAGGGAUACCCGCUGAACUUAAGCAUAUCAAUAAGCGGAGGA
rnacentral:misc_RNA from 1 species